CAGAAUCUCCAUCCCCACCCCAGAAAUGCUGAAUCGGAUUCUGCGUUUAAUCAAGGACCUCAGGAAGGAAAUGAGAUCAACCAGAUAACCUUCUUGGAUUCCUUCUGCCCAAAUGUGACCGACGCUGCCAUUCACAGUAAAAGGCCAAACAAGAUGGCCAGGCCCUUUGCCCUCAUUAAGAAUGUAAUCUAGAGCUGUAGUCCUCAAGCAUUUAUCAUCACAUACCCAUCAAUAAAAUUUGUUGAGUGUGCACC
rnacentral:lncRNA from 10 species